AGCAGUGUCAAAAAAGACAUUAGCAAUACCAUCACCAUCAACGUCAUCAGCAACACCAUCAUCAACACCAUCAACAACAAGAGCACCAUCAACAACAAAUGCAUCUCCAGAAACAUUUGAGGAAGCCUCACUGGCUGAAGAUCUGCGGACGGUGCUGGUUGAGGUGGUGGUGGCAUUUUCAGUCGCUCUGAUCCUGUUUAUCCUCACAGUUUUAUGUCUCUGCUUUGGUGCCACCUGUAAUGAGGGGUACAGAUCCCAGGAUGGUAACUUCAUAAACAUGCAGUACAACAC